CCCAGCACAAGUUAGAAUCAGCACAAGUUAGAAUGUGGGCAACUCUGCAGUCAUUGCGCAGGCACUUUGGUGACUCUAGAUAACCUCAGGCCGAUGAAACGUCCCCGCGACAACGCAUUAGAAUGUCUGCCCUAUCAACUUUCAAUGGUACUUUCUGCGCCUACCAUGGUGACCAUGGGUAACGGGGAAUCAGGGUUUGAUUCCGGAGAGGGAGCCUGAGAAAUGGCUACCACAUCCAAGGAAGGCAGCAGGCGCGCAAAUUACCCACUUACCGACGCGGGGAGGUAGUGAUG
rnacentral:rRNA from 1 species